rnacentral:pre_miRNA from 1 species
GGGGGGAGCAUAGGAUCCUGGGCUGUGUCCGCCAGCGCCUGGGCUCCGGGGCCUGCGCCGCUGGAAUCGCGCUCCCGGGUCCGCGCAGCCCCCU